GCAAGUCGAGCGAACUGAAGGGAGCUUGCUCCCGGAUGUUAGCGGCGGACGGGUGAGUAACACGUGGGUAACCUGCCUGUAAGACUGGGAUAACUCCGGGAAACCGGAGCUAAUACCGGAUAGUUCCUUGAACCGCAUGGUUCAAGGAUGAAAGACGGUUUCGGCUGUCACUUACAGAUGGACCCGCGGCGCAUUAGCUAGUUGGUGGGGUAAUGGCUCACCAAGGCGACGAUGCGUAGCCGACCUGAGAGGGUGAUCGGCCACACUGGGACUGAGACACGGCCCAGACUCCUACGGGAGGCAGCAGUAGGGAAUCUUCCGCAAUGGACGAAAGUCUGACGGAGCAACGCCGCGUGAGUGAUGAAGGUUUUCGGAUCGUAAAGCUCUGUUGUUAGGGAAGAACAAGUGCGAGAGUAACUGCUCGCACCUUGACGGUACCUAACCAGAAAGCCACGGCUAACUACGUGCCAGCAGCCGCGGUAAUACGUAGGUGGCAAGCGUUGUCCGGAAUUAUUGGGCGUAAAGGGCUCGCAGGCGGUUUCUUAAGUCUGAUGUGAAAGCCCCCGGCUCAACCGGGGAGGGUCAUUGGAAACUGGGAAACUUGAGUGCAGAAGAGGAGAGUGGAAUUCCACGUGUAGCGGUGAAAUGCGUAGAGAUGUGGAGGAACACCAGUGGCGAAGGCGACUCUCUGGUCUGUAACUGACGCUGAGGAGCGAAAGCGUGGGGAGCGAACAGGAUUAGAUACCCUGGUAGUCCACGCCGUAACGAUGAGUGCUAAGUGUUAGGGGGUUUCCGCCCCUUAGUGCUGCAGCUAACGCAUUAAGCACUCCGCCUGGGGAGUACGGUCGCAAGACUGAAACUCAAAGGAAUUGACGGGGGCCCGCACAAGCGGUGGAGCAUGUGGUUAAUUCGAAGCACGCGAAGAACCUUACCAGGUCUUGACUUCCUCUGACACC
rnacentral:rRNA from 1 species